UCUUCUAAGCACGUGGUUAUCCCCCCAUAUAGGUCGACACAGCUUCACGCAAGGUUAAAUAACAACGAUGCACUAGCGACACCUUCAGGAAGACCAGCCUUCAUAAACAACGUGUCAAGCGUUAUACGACUCUGCGAUCUCUUAGAGCGAUGUGAUCUGUUUCCACUAACGGCGACAUUUUGCGUCAACACGUGUGCAAAAGGAAAAGGUUUCUAUGCAGGGCGCACGGUGGGCGUGUGACACCAUAUGGCUGAAAGAAUCUGUACCUGUAACACGAAAAUGAGCUGAAAGCACUUUUCUUCCGUGGUCGGCACCUGACGUACUCAGCAAGUCACAGCGAUGGAAAACGACCGCACUGACUGCAUCAACCGUGCCGAAGGAAGCGGGAAAGAUACCACACGUGUUGACUGACGGAUUUUCAGCCCCGACAUCGGCAACCAUGAACUUAUUUGCUACGUGUGUUCCUCUAAAAAGUGUGCGCCCGUUUGGAUUCGGCAGUGGGCAUUGCGGCUCCGAUAUGUGGGUUACCCUGAACCAUUUUUUUACUCUUCACACAGGUGAGAAACGAUUUUCAACUAAAUACUAAGAAAAGUAGUAACAGAUUGCUCUUGGAGCUACCUUGCCCACUUGCUUUGUACUGGAUACCAUGUGCGAAUGCUACCGUGUU